CAAGUCGAACGAGACCUUCGGGUCUAGUGGCGGACGGGUGAGUAACGCGUGGGAACAUACCCUUUGGUACGGAAUAGCCUCGGGAAACUGGGAGUAAUACCGUAUGUGUCCUUUAGCUGUAGUGGUUAGAGGAGAAAGAUUUAUCGCCAAAGGAUUGGCCCGCGUUGGAUUAGGUAGUUGGUGGGGUAAUGGCCUACCAAGCCGACGAUCCAUAGCUGGUUUGAGAGGAUGAUCAGCCACACUGGGACUGAGACACGGCCCAGACUCCUACGGGAGGCAGCAGUGGGGAAUCUUAGACAAUGGGCGCAAGCCUGAUCUAGCCAUGCCGCGUGAUCGAUGAAGGCCUUAGGGUUGUAAAGAUCUUUCAGAUGGGAAGAUAAUGACGGUACCAUCAGAAGAAGCCCCGGCUAACUCCGUGCCAGCAGCCGCGGUAAUACGGAGGGGGCUAGCGUUAUUCGGAAUUACUGGGCGCAAAGCGCACGUAGGCGGAUUGACAAGUCAGAGGUGAAAUCCCAGGGCUCAACCUUGGAACUGCCUUUGAAACUGUCAGUCUUGAGUUCGAGAGAGGUAAGUGGAAUCCCGAGUGUAGAGGUGAAAUUCGUAGAUAUUCGGAGGAACACCAGUGGCGAAGGCGGCUUACUGGCUCGAUACUGACGCU
rnacentral:rRNA from 1 species